UCACCACAGUUUAAGAAUAAAAGUGUCAAGUGUAAUUAGGUGUAGGAGGGAGUAUGCUUUGUAAAGGACCUAUGAAAAACAUUCUGCCUUUUUGUGGUAUGCUUGGAUAUUUCACUGAAGCUCUUGUUUCAUUUUUCUGGUGAAUCUUCAGGAUACAGUCCUCCUUCCUCUUAAGUCAGUGGGAGAGUUCUCAGCAAAUUAAAUCACUGGAAGCAAGACAGCAGCAUAAAAUUUAAAAACAACCACCAAGAUGAGUGCCUGGAAGUUGGUGCAAGAGGAAGAAUGAGGAAUAAUUCUUCUGUGACUCUCUUCUGUGCUUUACUCUGGCUCUAUGUGUAUAAUAUUAUUUUGUAUGUAGUAUUUGCAAAGCCUUAGUUCUUUUUGGGUCUGGAGAAGAAAUGAAAUUGUGGAUCUCAAAGCAAAUUGUUGUUGAUACGAUAAUAGAACGUGAGGCCAUUUCACAUCUCUGUUGGCCAUCCCUCUUGCUUCUGCAAAACAACUUCAUGGACCAGGGCACAUUCAGCAGAAUUCUUGUUAUCAAGAAAAGGCAGGCACUCAGUGCACCAGCCCUCCAUGGAGGAUGGCUAUCAAACCCUCAAAGAAAGGAUUUCUUUCCCCUGAGAUGUUUACAGUGUGUGGGGCUAGGCUGAAGUUAAUGCAUUGUCCUUUUCUGACCGCAGUAUAGAUGAAGGGAACUUUACUCAAAUGCUUUUUACCUGGCCUUUUGCUUGGAGGCUUAUCAUUUCCCUAAAUCUUCUGGUAUUGUUGCACUUACAUAACCACUUUUUGAACCUACCAGGUCAAAAUACUCUGCUAAGAAAGUUUUUACACCUUAAAAUAUUUCAGUUAUUACAGAUCGCUGGCAACAAUUAUGCGUGUACUGAUGCUGGCAGACUUGGGGAUGUUGGUACAUGGUGAGGCUGCAGCCUAAGAUGGACCUGUGGCUGCCAAGGGUGCUGCCUUUGGAAAUCUCAUCCUUUGCUGACAGAACAGUCUUCACCAAAAGAGGCUGAUGCUGAUCAGUAGAAGAAAUGAAGCAUCACUUCUUUAUGUAAGAAGGGGCAAAUUAACCCAUAAGAGCUUGCCAUUGCUCUCGAAGAGCUUUAGUAUGUUUUUUCAGAUAAUUCUCAUGCUCUAGCAAUAACUAAAACAUAUUUGUGGGUUCUGGAAGCUACUAUUAAAUGUUAAGAGACAUUAGUUAGCACCUGUAGUCCAGGUAGAACUAUUUUGAAUUGAUACAUCUAUGAGCACAUCUUGUUUAUAACGUUUGAAUUUUUUAAGAAUUACAGAAAUUAGCAAAGGUGAUUAUGUUGGUUGGAAAGACUGUAAUGGGGGGCGGAGGGGAUGCUGCUGCUCUGGUGGGCUGAUCUGUCCAUUCAUGUCAUUAGCACAUACAGUCAAAAAUGAGCCUAUUAAUGAUGUUAACAUUCUCUGCAUUUAUGUUAGUAGUUGUUAUUUUCCUUAGUAAAAUGAAACCUGUUUAGCAAAUAUGUUUUGAGAAUAUUUUUAAAGCAAAAUUAAUCUGUAACCAAACAAUCCUCUUGAUGGUUUUUUUUGCAAAAAUAUUCUUACAAAUUCCAGACUUUAUUAAAUAGACUGUUAUGAAGCUACCCCUUAUAAAUUAAUGUAUAAUUUCCUCAACAAAUGUUACUAUCCUGUCUUAUCCUUCUAUGUAUUCUGUUGUUGUGUCUGCAACAAAAAAUAUUGUAAUUUCUUUAAGUUUGAAAAUGAACAAUGAUACCAAUCCCGCAUCAGAUAGUAAGGCUGAGAUGCUCAGGGGUUUAUUUUGCUUCAACUUUUUUUGAAGUGGAAGUUGCUGGUUAUUCUUUGAGUUUCUUUUUGCCUCCAUUACUGUGACAGCUUUGAUUUUCAAAAAGGGCUAUACUGAAUGCAUUUGUUAGUGCUAUUGGUUGAAAAUGAAUGAGGUCGUAAAAACAGUUUGAAGCAGUUUCCAGAAAUACUAGCAAUGCUUAUACACUUUUUUUCUCCCAUGGAUUGCUGUGUUAAACCCAAUUUGUUGUUGAGUUGAUACAUGUUGCAGAGCUCUAAAGAAAUGUUCAUCUUUUUUAGUCUUUGAUAUUAACCUACUUAAUUAGCAUUUUAACUGUCAUAUCUCUUCUGUAAUGUUUAUUAAUUUUUUCCUGCAGAAGUACAAAUUCAGAAAAGAAAAAGGAAACAGACCACAUUUAUAGGCAUGCUAUAGUGCUGUAGACUUACUUUCUGCAUAUUUAAGAACUAAGCAUCCGUGUCCAUCUUGCUACCAGGUGACUUUUAGCUGAAGCUAUUAUUCAUGCCCUCUGUUACAUUCAAGGGCUGUGUAAUGAGUAGUAUGUAUUUAAAUGGCUCCUAUCAACUCAGUGUGUGCUGUAUUUUAGUUACGUAACUCUACUGUGCAAUAACAGAGAUUAAUGCUGCAAUAUGCACAGCUUUCACAUUUGCUUUUGAAAUGAUUAGCUGAAGCUGGUGCUUCGUAGGAACUUGAGUACAGCAUGUCAGCUAAUGAUUAAAUCAGUCUGGAUAGAUGUUUGAAUGCUUUGUUCUGCAAUUUAGUUCACCUAAGCUAGCUUACUUAAAGAAGUGAAAAUGAGCAAUAAUGGACCCUCGCUCUUGAAGUCAUUUGUCCAUCUCUUGUGUGACCUCCCACUCCUCUUUGGGUGCACUAUAUGUUUUUGGUCUGCAAGUCUUGAGACUGGUUCACUGGUGUAAAGUGACAGUAUUCUCACUUGUUCAGUUCACCUUGUGUGUAUCUGUUUACUAGUAAUUUAAUUUGGGUGUGACUUUGAAUAUACCAUAAAUGAACUCUUUUUGAACUUACUGGGUGCCCAUAUGAAACUCUCCAGGCUAUAGGAUGGAGAAUGGAAAAAAGAAAAAAAAAAAAAAAGGAAAUGGAAAAAAAAAAUGUAGGACUUUCAGUUUGUAGAAUAGCACUUUCUUCUUUUGUCCUCUAAGAUGCUACUAUUCACAUAAAGGAUGAAAUGAGGAAUCUGGCUGAGAUGAGGAGGACCAUGAUCUGCCCUGUUCACUUCUUUCCAAAUAUAUGUUCUGAAAGAACAUUUCUAUAUGAGAAGGAAAGGUGGAGGCUAAUAAAAAAGCAAGCAUUGUUAGAACUUCUGUGUUUAAAUGUUUUCAGAUUGCAAGUUUUGUAUUCUACAUUUGGGCUAGUAGCAGUGGGAUAAUCAAAUGUUUGUGUAUGCCUGCAAUGGGUGGUCACUGUGUCAUGGCUGAAAAAAGUUACUGUGCUUUUUCAGCUGCUCUCAGGCCCUGUGUUUAUCUAAUGAAAAUGGAGCACGUAAAUGAGUAUUGAGAGGAAAAAGACCUGACUGGAGAACUUGCCUCCUGUUUCCUGCAGGGAAAACAGUUACAACAGCACUGAUGCCACAGAAUUGAUAAAAAUACAGGAUAACAUCUGUGGCAUUUUUGGAGAAGAAAGGUUCCUCCUUCAAGGUCUGUUCCUGUUUGACAAUUCAAAUUUUCUGGCAUUAUAAGUAAAUUGUAUGUGGGAGUCACACACUCAGCCAUUCUUGUAUAGUUUAUUUUUUUAAUUUUAGAAGAAAUCUAAUGCUGACUGCUUGCUUUCAUGAUUGAACCAUCCUGAUGUGGCAGUGGGCUUUAAGGCCGGGCCGCUGCUCCUGCCUGGGUGGUGCAGGGGUGCUGGCGGGAAAGGCCUCAGCGCCAGCCCCGCUUAACCAGGAAGCCAUGGCUCCUGUCUCUCUUGCUGAUUCUCCAUUUGUGGUGGUGUUUGUUGUUUUUUUUUUUUAAAAUACUCAAUUAUCAGUUAGACUAAGUAAAAUGUCAGUUAUUCUAUGGAUUGUUUAUUGCCAACAAAAUAUUGAAAUGUCCGAGUAUUGUCCUCCUUGGUUUUACUUGGACAGUGGGAGGUUGCCCCUUUAAAUUUCCUCAGAGCAGGUUAGUGUUUUUUUUCCCCUUUUCUGAGCACUAACCAAAAGAAGUUUUAGUAUUUAUAACCAUUUAUCAGUUUAUUGUUUUACCUUCAGCUGGUGAAUUAAGAAUAGUGUUUCAGUUCUUCUAAACUAGCAUUUGGUUAUCUUUCCCUCAGCACAGCCCAGAGCCGCUGUGUGCUGUAGCUGAGUGCACUCACCUCCUCAGAGAAGGCGGCCGCUUUUCCACAUCGUCUGGCUUUCCUCAGCUACAUGGCAGAGUAAUCUCACUCACAUGUCGGUUUGUCUUUAUCAGCAGCAUGCUUUGCAUUAAUUUCAGCUUCUCAGUGUGCCCAUGAGGACCAUAGUGCAGCCUAUGCUCCCUGGCUUCCCUCAGUAACGCAGUCCCACCUCACCCCUCUAAGACCUCAGUGCCACCUCAGUGUCCCACAGGGGAAGGUAAGCUGAAAUUCUGCUCUUUCUGCCAGAAAGCAAUUUGCCCGGGCUUCCUCCUCGCCUGCCUCUCUCAAUGUGAAGUGACCUGGUAAUCUGUUGGCUCCUUGCCAGUCCCUCAGUCAUGUGGGUAAUCCUGAGGGUUGUCAUCUGAGGUGAGAGAUCAGAAGAAGGACCCAGACAUGACACAUGUGUGUGAAAGAUCAAGGCACUUCUGCCUGCUGCGUUAUUUUUAAAACGAGAGCUAACAAAGACACAAGCGAGCCGUUUGUUCUUACAUCCUCCUGAAUACUGUCAGAUAAGCCCGUUAAUAUUAUUGACUUAGUUUUCUGUGUGCAAAAUGAGUGUGAUUUUUACUUUUCUCAUAGAGAUGUUGGAGUAAGUAAAGAAUAAACUCACUCAACUCCUGCAGUGUUGGGCUGCACAGAAAUACUUGUAGAGAGAGAUUCAUUGCUGUAGAGCAGUAACUCUACUCAGCCCUUCAUCUCUCUCCAGGUUUUAGUUUCCACUUUAAUGCUUCCUCUGUUCUCUUUAAUGUUAUCUCUCUCGCUCAGAUCACUUGGCUGCUGGAAGGUCCCAUUCUCUGUCCCACGAUUAGCCCAGAAGUCCCCUUGCUCUUGUGUUUCUUUUUAGCUGUUGCACAGUCAAGGAAUUCUCUCUGGAAUGUGAGCAUUUGGGCCAGGUUUGCAGUUCUCAAAAACCUUCUUUGUAAUCUGUUAAUGGAAGUCACACUUGACCCUGACUGAGGAGAACAUGCCAGCAGAACUUUCUGGAGACAUACUGUGAGUAAUAUCACUGCAUUAACUUGGGCAUAAAUGACCCAAGAACUGGGAAAAGUGCAAAACUCUUGACUUGGAAUUGCCCUUGGUGUCAGUGGAUCGUGCAACUACAGCCUCCCCAGUUUUAAUGAGAGCAGGUGGGCUCACAGCAUUAUUUUCUUUUUUGGAAAUAAAACAAUUUCUCCACAGUCUAGAAUUACUUUAAUUUAAAAGGCUCUGUCCUCUCUGGUGCCUUUGAUUAGAAAUGAUGGCCUGGUGGAAUAUUGGGUGGCUUUGUCUGGUUGGGUAAUUUUGGUACUGAUUAGACAUAUGCCCUGAUUUCACUGGGUUGUAAGAACUCUGAAAUAAAAAGUGAGCUCACUUUUUUUUUUUUUUAACAUAUUUUCACAAGUACAAUCUGGAACAUGAUGACAUAGGUCACAAUAUUACUCAAAAGGUGGCGACUUCCAGUGUGGGUCAUAGCAACCUGUUAAGCUUAUUUGGGCUCUAUUAGAGAAGUAGCAAGAAAUUAGCAGGCUAAUUGCAAAGUGAAUUUCUACUUUUUUGGGGGAGCAGUCUCUUUAGCCCAGUGUGUUCGUUAAACACUUUACUAGCUGGCACUGCAGUGAAAUUGUUUGCUAAUGAAACUUCCAUCGCUGUAAAAUAAUCACAUAUCCUCACUAAGCAAAUACCACUCUGAUAACAGUGAAGUGGGUGUACCAGUCCAUUUUCUUAGCAGUGUUGUUAUUUAAGUAUUUGUCAUAUAUAAUAGUAAUAUAAACUGAUGUCAUAUGGGUUAGUUCUUUUAAGGAGAGCUUUUAUGAACACUUCUAAGCAUUUGCUUGAUAUUUUUUGCUACUUAUUACUUUUGUAUGUAUGCAGGGUUGAAACCACUUUCAGAAACUUGUCAGUGAUUGAUCACUUCACAGUAGACAUUCAGAUAGGUGCUCUUUAAUCAAUUCAUACUUGAUCUUUCUGUAGACACUUAAUGUGUCACUUUCUAGAAAUCAACAGCUCUUUUAGCUGCAGGGAUUGCCGGAAGUUAUUUUGGGAAGCCGCACAAAGUACAUACUCAGUCUGAAAGUAGACAAGGCUAUUGCUGAAGAAGAAUCAUUGAGCCAUGAAUGGCAUUCAAUUCACAUAGAUUACUGCCAUUACUUAUAAUACUUCCCUAAAAGUACUUAGACAGCAAUAAUGAGAAGGAAACAAGAAAGAAAACUCAAUAAAGGAAAUAAAUGGUGAGUCUGGUAUUUCUGCAUAUUCUUGUUUUACCCAGCAAACAUGUUGGAUUUGUCAUGUCUGUCGCUUCCAUUCGUAAUCUGUAAGACUGACAAAGCGAACUUAGAUUGAUUGUCUUUAAUUUAGCAGCGUUAUUGUUCUUGUGUGAUUCCACCUUUAGUAUACUUAUUUGAUGCUAUACUGCAACACUUUUAGUAAAGUUGUUGCCUCUCUUAAAUAAGUUGUCUCUUUGAGAGUAAGGCCCUGUGUAUUUUCAUUAAUGAUGAAGGAAAAUACUCCAAAAAAACCCUCCAGGAGUAGGCUUUGCCUCCCAUGCUUCUGCAGAGGAGAAGGGGCACAAGGGCUAAAACAGGAACACUGAUUUUGCAGCGAUGAAUACAAUGGUUCCAUGUGAUCAUAACUUGAAAUUACUUCUACAACUUAAUCACUGCCAAAAUUAAUCAGGGUAAUGUAUGGCAGAGAGAACUGAAGUAUUCAGACACGAUAAGGUAUCCUGACUUCCUAAGGCAGGAAAACAGCAUUCAUUUCUAAGAGUAAGAUAAUUCCCUAGGUCAGUAAUUUCUUUUGAAAAUAAUUAUACCAUACAAAGUAAUCUAUAAGACAUUCAUGUUUGUCUGCUUAAAUACUGAGAUUUGCACUGAGACUGAAUAAAGGAGAAGGGAGUCAUGAGGAUUCUUUGCUUGGAGGCAAGGGGAGAAGUGUGUUUUCUUGACAGUGUUUGAGACAAUAAUGGGAACUGUACCUGGGUUCUUGUGGUAGGACAUCAUGCACACAGCUCCCAUAAGCCAGUGCCAUGAGGCACAAAGCAAAUAAAGACUUCUCCAGUUGCAAAUAUUGAUCAGCCUAUCCCUUGGUUUAGAGUCACUUCAGGAAUAAGAGUAUUGAGGCAAUGGUUCCUCAAACUAGCAAAAUUUGGCUGAGCUGAAAGUUGGACUCUAGGUCUCAAGCUUGGACAUGUGUUUAUGCCAAGGAAGUAAGAGUUUAAAAACUGUAGCCAACAAAGAUUGGGAAAAGUCCAACCAAAGCCACGGCCGUCAUCUUUGCCCACAGAAACUGCACGAUCAGAGUGAAGCUUGACUGCUGAGGUCAUUGGUGCCUGUGAAGGUGCUGUGAGUGACUGACCACUCUGCCACCUGGCCCUGCUCCAGCAGUGACAAGCCACAUGAGUGCCAUCAACUUGGGGUGGGAAGUUAGGGGCACCAUUCAGGUAUACAAGGUGAACAUACCUGACUCAAACAAAUGUGCAUUUGGCUGCAAGAAUGCCUGCCUUGGCCACAGCAGCAGACAGAACAUGUCAUGACUAAGUGAAUUCCUGCAGCCUACGCAAAGUGGUCCCCGUUUGGUUUUAUAAUUUAUGAAUGUGUCACUGGGAAUAAACAUAGGGUUUGUGUGCUCCAGGCAGUGUUUAAGGCUGUAUGUUGGUCGUUUUUGCUGCAGAACAAAAUCCCCACCACAGAUGGUAGCAAGGCCAGAGACAAGGCUUAUAAUGAAUUGGUGUUAAUAUUUUUUCCCCUAUACACAGUUAGAUUUUUGUAAACAUUUCUUUGUUUGUAUUUUCUCUUCUAUACAGAAUUCCUGCAUCCUCUACACCUGUGUGGAAAAUCUACCACUGCUCUUCGAGUGACAUGACCUAGAUUUUAAAACAAAAACUAAGCCCAGGAGGUUUUCAGCUGUAGGCUUACAUUUUCACUGGAACUGAACUUUCCCAACAGUAUGUUGGCCUUGAUAAAGUUCUGGAACGGGUGAGCUGAGGAGGGAAUUCUCGCAACUCAACCCUGGUUCCAAAUCCAGCUAGCAUAAUUACAGUCUUGCUACUGGCCAGUAGUGCUGCUCUGGAUAGCAUCAAAGCAUUCCUGUAAAAUGUUUUGAACUGCUCCCAGUGAACACUCCUGUGGUCGGUAUAUAGUGACUUCUGAGCACAUAUUAAACUGUGCCUUGUCCAAAGAGUUACGCAGUUUCUGUAUGCAGACACCAGCACAGAUGCGUGUGAGUUAGCCAUGUACCAAAAAGACCAGGUAAUUGUGAAAACUGAGUAAUUUGAGUGACUGGGCAUCAUGGCACCCACUGCAUAACUGUACUUCCAACACUGUUUGGAGUCAGUGGCAGCUUCCCGGGCAGGAUAUGUCAUAUCAGCUCAUGCAUCUAGAAUGGGCUGUAUCAAAAGGUUUAUGAAAUAGAUGCCUACAGAAAUGUAAUUUGACUUUAAUCAAUUUUAUUGUUAGAGUGAAAAACAAAAAUGUAGAUAAAAGCCUUAAGAGUGCAGAAAGGAAAAAAAAAUGAUUUGUAGGAAGCUAAUUAAUUUGUUUUCAGAAUGCUUUUUUUCAGUCCUUUUGUGGAAUGAAGAUUCCUUAAAGAAACCAACCGGCUGGAAGCAGAAGAUGAUAUCCAUUGCAGCAUUGCUUCUCUGUAUGAAGACAUUAGAAUUGGCCUGAUUUCCACAAGUGCGAGGCAAGGACAGGUAGUGUCUUUUCCAUUGGGACCUGAGGUUAUAGAGCAUUUCUGAGAAUCAAGUCAUUUGCUGCUACUUCUGAAACUAAAUUCUUAAGAAGAUGGUGCUGAUAAAGAAAUAGUUCUACCCUCCCACUGCUUGGUGUGGACUCUCGCCUUAAGUCAAUAAACUGCAUAACCUAUAUGUGCAUGCACAUAAAUAACAGUUUUUGGAAAGAGAGAGAGGUGAAUGCUGUGAGAACCGCCUCAAUAACUUUAUGAACUUAAGUGCUAACUGCUCAGAAGAGUUACGAUCCUUCUGUUCGAUGGUAUUUCCAGUUUGUAACAGAUCAGCAACUUGGUGUUGUUUCUUGGGCAGGGCAAGGUACUCAGUACCUCUCCUUUAUGGGAUUUUCCAGG